GAUGAACGCUGGCGGCGUGCCUAAUACAUGCAAGUCGAGCGAACAGACGAGGAGCUUGCUCCUCUGACGUUAGCGGCGGACGGGUGCGUAACACGUGGAUAACCUACCUAUAAGACUGGGAUAACAACGGGAAACCGGAGCUAAUACCGGAUAAUAUAUUGAACCGCAAGGGUCAAGAGUGAAAGACGGUUUUGCGUACACUUAUAGAUGGAUCAGCGCCGCAUUAGCUAGUUGGUAAGGUAACGGCUUACCAAGGCAACGAUGCGUAGCCGACCUGAGAGGGUGAUCGGCCACACUGGAACUGAGACACGGUCCAGACUCCUACGGGGGGACGCAGUAGGGAAUCUUCCGCAAAGGGCGAAAGCCUGACGGAGCAACGCCGCGUGAGUGAUGAAGGACUUCGGAUCGUAGAACUCUGUUAUUAGGGAAGAACAAAUGUGUAAGUAACUAUGCACGUCUUGACGGUACCUAAACAGAAAGCCACGGCUAACUACGUG
rnacentral:rRNA from 1 species